GACGAACGCUGGCGGCGUGCUUAACACAUGCAAGUCGAACGGAAAGGCCCUGCUUUUGUUGGUUUCUCGAGUGGCGAACGGGUGAGUAACACGUGAGUAACCUGCCCUUGACUUUGUGAUAACUUCAGGAAACUGGGGCUAAUACACGAUAGGAGCUCCUGCUGCAUGGUGGGGGUUGGAAAGUUUCGGCGGUUGGGGAUUGACUCGCGGCUUAUCAGCUUGUUGGUGUGGUAGUGGCUUACCAAGGCUUUGACGGGUAGCCGGCCUGAGAGGGUGACCGGCCACAUUGGUACUGAGGUACGGACCAGACUGCUACGGGAGGCAGCAGUGGAGAAUAUUGCACAAUGGGGCGAAGCGUGAGGCAGCAAUGCAGCGGGCGGGAUGACGGCUUUCGGGUUGUAAACCGCUUUCGCCUGUGACGAGGAGUGAGUGACGGUAAUGGGUAAAGAAGCACCGGCUAACUACGUG
rnacentral:rRNA from 1 species